rnacentral:rRNA from 1 species
UACGUAGGUGGCAAGCGUUGUCCGGAUUUAUUGGGUUUAAAGGGUGCGUAGGCGGUUUUCUAAGUCAGCAGUGAAAUACGGCAGCUCAACUGUCGAGGUACUGUUGAUACUGGGGAACUUGAGUACUGAUGAGGUAGGCGGAAUGGACGGUGUAGCGGUGAAAUGCGCAGAUAUCAGGAGGAACACCAAUGGCGAAGGCAGCACUCUGGGACGUGACUGACGCUGAGACGCGAAAGCGUGGGGAGCAAACAGG